rnacentral:snoRNA from 1 species
UAAAAUAUUUUUGGGAUCAUUUGUAUAUUUCGCUAUUAGACAAGUUUCUCUGAAUGUGUAGAGCAUCCAAAACCACAAGGAAGAGGUACAGCAUUCUCUCCUGAGCAUGAAGCCAGCUCUAGGUGUUGCAACUGCCAUUAGCCAGUGAUAAUCCUUCUUCUCUUCCUUUGGGAGAGUAAGAGGGAGAGAAUGCUGUCUGAGUGGU